rnacentral:rRNA from 1 species
AGUAUGUAGAGAUAGACCCGAAGCCGUAGUGAUCUAGUCAUGAGCAGGUUGAAGGCUGGGUGAAUCCAGCUGGAGGACCGAACCGACCCCCGUUGAAAAGUUGGCGGAUGACUUGUGAUUAGCGGAGAAAUUCCAAUCGAACACGGCGAUAGCUGGUUCUCCCCGAAAUAGCUUUAGGGCUAGCGUUGAACGAAUCUACCCGGAGGUAGAGCACUGAAAUCAUGCGGGCGGCAUCUCGCCGUACCAAAUGAUAUCAAACUCCGAAUGCCGGGCAAGAAUAUUCAGCAGUCAGACUGUGGGUGAUAAGGUCCAUGGUCAAAAGGGAAACAGCCCAGAUCAUCAGAUAAGGUCCCAAAAUUUACGCUAAGUGGAAAAGGAUGUGGAGACGCGCAAACAGCUAGGAGGUUGGCUCAGAAGCAGCCAUCCUUCAAAGAGUGCGUAACAGCUCACUAGUCGAGUAUCUCUGCGCCGAAAAUUAACCGGGGCUAAGCGUAAUACCGAAUCUAUGGAUUUAUACUUAGGUAUAAGUGGUAGGGGAGCGUUCCAUACAGCAUUGAAGGUAUACCGUAAGGAGUGCUGGAGCGUAUGGAAGUGAGAAUGCCGGUGUGAGUAGCGAGAUGUGGGUGAGAAUCCCACACACCGAACAACCAAGGUUUCCAGGGGAAGGUUCGUCCGCCCUGGGUAAGUCGGGACCUAAGGCCAGGCCGAAAGGCGUAGUCGAUGGACAGCAGGUUGAUAUUCCUGCACCCGCGAGUAAAGUGAUGGAGUGACAGAUAGGGUUAGCCCUAGUCCUUAAUGGAUUGGGCAAGGCAAGCAGGAGAGUGGCGUAGGCAAAUCCGCGCCGGAUACUCAAAGGCUUGACUCAAGCGAACGCGCGAGCAAGUAGUGAAGAGGGUGAUACCAGGUCUCAAGAAAAGCUUCUAGCGAUAAUUUACUAGCGGCCCGUACCAAAACCGACACAGGUGGUUGAGGCGAGUAGCCUAAGGUGAGCGAGAGAACUGUUGCCAAGGAACUCGGCAAAUUGACCCCGUACGUUAGCAAUAAGGGGUGCUCGAAAGAGCCGCAGUGAAUAGGCCCUAGCAACUGUUUAACUAAAACAUAGCUCUCUGCGAAGUCGCAAGACGAAGUAUAGGGGGUGACACCUGCCCGGUGCUGGAAGGUCAAGGGGAUUUGUCAGACGCAAGUCGAAGCAUUGAACCGAAGCCCCAGUGAACGGCGGCCGUAACUAUAACGGUCCUAAGGUAGCGAAAUUCCUUGUCAGGUAAGUUCUGACCCGCACGAAAGGUGUAAUGAUUUGGGCACUGUCUCGGCAGCAGACUCGGUGAAAUCUUAGUACCUGUGAAGAUGCAGGUUACCCGCAACUAGACGGAAAGACCCCAUGGAGCUUUACUGUAGUCUGCUAUUGAGUUUCGGUUAAGUAUGCACAGGAUAGGUGGGAGACGAUGAGACUGGUCUUUCGGGAUCAGAGGAGUCACUGUUGGGAUACCACUCUUACUUAAUUGAAAUUCUAACUCUAAGCCGUGAUCCGGCUAGAGGACCGUGGCAGAUGGGCAGUUUGACUGGGGCGGUCGCCUCCCAAAGAGUAACGGAGGCGCACAAAGGUACUCUCAGAAUGGUUGGAAAUCAUUCAACGAGCGCAAACGCAGAAGAGUGCUUGACUGCGAGACAAACAAGUCGAGCAGGGACGAAAGUCGGUGUUAGUGAUCCGGCGGUGCAGAAUGGAAUGGCCGUCGCUUAACGGAUAAAAGCUACCCUGGGGAUAACAGGCUGAUCUCGCCCAAGAGUUCACAUCGACGGCGAGGUUUGGCACCUCGAUGUCGGCUCAUCGCAUCCUGGAGGUGAAUUCGCUUCCAAGGGUUGGGCUGUCCGCCCAUUAAAGCGGUACGCGAGCUGGGUUCAGAACGUCGUGAGACAGUUCGGUCCCUAUCUGUUGUGGGCGUUGGAAAUUUGAGGAGAGCUGCCCCUAGUACGAGAGGACCAGGGUGGACGUUCCUACGGUGCACCAGUUGUCACGCCAGUGGCAUAGCUGGAUAGCUGAGAACGGACCGGAUAAACGCUGAAGGCAUCUAAGCGUGAAACCGACUCCAAGAUUAGAUUUCCCAUCAUUUCAAAUGAAUAAGACCCCUUGAAGACGACGAGGUUGAUAGGUCAGAGAUGUAAGUGUAGCGAUACAUUUAGUUGACUGAUACUAAUAGGUCGAAGAUUUAUUCAC